CACUAUUCACGGAGCCUGAGGUGAAUAAUUUUUAAUUAAAUAGUCUAGAUAGAUAGUCAAGUCUUUAUUAAUACCAAACGACACAAAUCGUCGGGAAUCCAUUUAGGUGGUUCGUCCCACACAGGACAUAGCCUACAAGACCACACAGAACAAGUCUGACUGGACAUACACACAAUACAUCACAUUAAAACUAGACACGCGUUGAUAGAUAGAUAGACAGAAAGGCCUAGAUAGAUAGAUAUGUUCCAUUUUUUGCCUUGCGGAGCCAACCAGUCCUGUGCACGUAUGCAAAUUAGCCAUGUGCGCUAAUGUCUAUUUGUUUUGAAUGCGACGAAUGAGUGCAGAUCAUGAUUUGCAGAUCCAGAUCAGUGAAACAUAUUUUAAUUACUACAGCACGCAGGGUUUUUUGUUCUCGGUUGUAAUUAGCCUACAUUUUAGGAUUUUUUGUAUAUUGGGGGGAAUCACUGUCCUACUUGUUGUCGAAGCACUUUAUCGAACAAGCAAAACCGUCUCGGCAAUAUGGCCAAGGUGUAUGGGAGAGUUCACUAUUUGAUAUGGCUGUCUGUAGGGCCUACUAAACGCAUACGGCUCCUUUAAAUGAGUCUGCAUAAUUGAAUUGUACGUCAUGAGCGACUUGAGCGACCAAAGCGAACAGAAAAAUUCGCAGCGAAACUUUGUGAGCGACCAAAGCGUCUUUGACGCUAUGGUCGCUCCUGGUGUGGACGUACAGUAACGCAGUGCACAUGAACGGUCGCUGCCGGGGAAAGUUAUCUCGUUAUCCCCAUCAGGAUGAACGCGCCUUUAAUGCCUACAUGAGGCCGUAGCACAGUUAAUGCCGCCUCAAAACAGCUACGAGGUUCGGAAGCUCUUACGUGUCUUUACGUAAACCUUCCCUUCUUCCGAAAUAAGAGCGUUCAGGAAACGGCUCUCAGAAUUGCGUAGGCUAUGACAUAAAACCGGAAAAACAGAUCAUUCGUGAGACUUCAUAACAACUAAAAUGAUGGAUGCCCGCAGGGAGCUCUUUGCGCUUCUUUGCUUAAUCAGAUGAAUAAUUUAUUAGAACUGAUAGAGAUGGUUGAACAUGAGCGAGAAUUUCUCAGGUGAUGUUUAUAAUUGUAAUCUAUAAUUUAUCGUUAUGAAAAUGUUAGACUGGAUGUUAAGUUUGCCUCUUAGUGCUUGCUGCCAGUUCACUUUAGUCUAUCAAUGAAAUGGGAAAUUGUUGUGACCUCUACUUCCGCACGAAACACUGAGCAAAAACUCCGGCCCAACAGAGCGUUCAAAGCACUUUCCUCCGAGCUUAUGGUCCGAACCUCCCGGAAACUCAGACCGUUUCGAAGGCGGCAUAACAGACGAGCUGAGGUGGUGACGUCAUCGAGUCUGCUGCUUUUCCAAUUGACCUGUCGCUAAGUCACGCCCCCAGUCGUUACCAUGACGAACGCGGACAAACAAGCCAGGCUAGUUAACAAAAACAUAUGGAAAAAUGGCAGCUGACAGUAUAUCAAAGCAGGUUUUGGAGAAGUUUUGGGUGAAAAAUAUUACAUUUCUUCUUCCAGGAGCAAUCGAAAGGGACUCUCGCGAGUAACGCGUUUGGUGUGGCCGUACCGCUACGCUAUGGAAGGGUGUAUUCAAAACUUCAGAAAUACCUAGAGAAGGUGACAAGCUUAAAUUAAUUUGGUAUUCUGGCCUGUCACACAGUCUGAUCCACAUUCCACGUUUUCUUGUCCUGUUGUGUCUUGGGAAAAGGGAUGAAAUAUACCCCAUUCUGCACCCACUCGGGAUAACGACUCUCCGUGCUACAUUUACCCCAAGCACAUCGUUUGACCAUGUUAUAUUUUUUUUACACAAGCAACAUAAAUCCACCAUUAAAUUGUUAUAUUAUGCCUCCUCCCUGUUGUUUUCAAUGGAGUUGUCCGAGCUGAUGUCAGAGUAUAGUCUGGGCUGGAAUGUCAUUGUCUCAUCUGCGUUCUAAGGACGGAACUCAGCGACGGCUCAAUUGCAGGUGCCUCCUCCCGUCCUCGGAAGUUUGUAUCACAUUCUAACCUUAACCCUAACUUGCUAAGUUCAAACUUCCAAGUCUGCAAAUCCGAAGUUUGCGUACUACUUGGUAUUGAGAAACGACUAAUGUCUAAUAGGAAGAUAACUGGCGCUCUCCGGUAACUUCCGGUUUCUGAACUGGUUUUGGUAACACAUCUCUGUCCAUGUGAGGGCGCUCGCUGGCGGGUGCAGAAAGAACGGGAGUCGACAGGGUUUCACCCUCAAAUUCCACUUUUCUUUUAUAUAUAUGUAUAUGUGUGUGUAUAUAUAUAUAUAUAUAUAUAUAUGUGUGUGCGUACUUGGUAUUGAGAAACGGCUAUAGUCUGCCAUUGACGUCGCUUAGCAACAGAAUACGCUGGGGUUGAUAAGUUACCGGACUACUUGUGGAGUGAUACGAAAGAUGGCAAAAAUCAAUUUUCCUUGACAUAGGUGCCGAUCAAUAUAUGCUUAGCAACGGUCAAUUAUCAAAGAAAAAUUGACCGCCGGAAGGCCCAUGCAAGUGAACGGAGCGUUCCAAAGCAUUGAGAAGAGCCGUGUAAUAAAUAUAUAUAAUGUAUGUGAUGUAUAUAAUAUAUACUGGGUCUCUACUGUACAUAUAGUGUGUAUAUAGUGUAUAAUGUCUAGGUAACGCUUUAUAUUAAGGUCCUUGUAAUAAGGCGCCUUUGUUAGGUAAUAAGACACUAAUUAUAUGCUUAUUAAAAUUAAUUGGUGUUAAUAAGACUAUCAGUCUUAUCAGUUUCGUAUAGUUGGUAAUAAAAGCAUUACAAACCCAUUUAUUGAUUCUUACUAACUUACCUAUUAUGUCAUUGUUAAAACUUUAUGUAGCAUUUUUUUAUGCUUAUUAAAAGGUUGUAUCAGCG
ensembl:lncRNA